CGGACGGGUGAGUAACGCGUGGGUAACCUGCCUCAUACAGGGGGAUAACAGUUGGAAACGACUGCUAAUACCGCAUAAGCGCACAGUACCGCAUGGUACGGUGUGAAAAACUCCGGUGGUAUGAGAUGGACUCGCGUCUGAUUAGCCAGUUGGCGGGGUAACGGCCCACCAAAGCGACGAUCAGUAGCCGACCUGAGAGGGUGACCGGCCACAUUGGGACUGAGACACGGCCCAAACUCCUACGGGAGGCAGCAG
rnacentral:rRNA from 1 species